rnacentral:SRP_RNA from 1 species
GCUGGGCAUGGUGGUGCAUGCCUGUAAUCCCAGCUACUCAGGAGGCUGAGGCAGGAGAAUCGCUUGAACCUGGGAGGCGGAGGUUGCAGUGAGCCAAGAUUGCACCACUGCACUCCAGCCUGGGCAACAGAGUGAGACUCUGUCUCAA